rnacentral:rRNA from 1 species
UACGUAGGGUGCAAGCGUUAUCCGGAAUUAUUGGGCGUAAAGAGCUCGUAGGCGGUUUGUCACGUCUGCUGUGAAAACUGGAGGCUCAACCUCCAGCCUGCAGUGGGUACGGGCAGACUAGAGUGCGGUAGGGGAGAUUGGAAUUCCUGGUGUAGCGGUGGAAUGCGCAGAUAUCAGGAGGAACACCGGUGGCGAAGGCGGAUCUCUGGGCCGACACUGACGCUGAGGAGCGAAAGCGUGGGGAGCGAACAGG